rnacentral:pre_miRNA from 1 species
CAAGUACUCCCUCGGUCUCAAAAUUCUUGUCUUAAAUUUGCCUAGAUAUGAAUGUAUCUAGUCACGUUUUAAUAUUUAGAUACAUUUAUUUCUAGAUAAAUCUAAGAUAAGAAUUUUGAGACGGAAGGAGUAGUAU